rnacentral:misc_RNA from 1 species
UGUUAGCUCGGGGAGGGCAGGGAUACGGCGCAGCACACGCUGGAGCUCUGUCCGACGUGGGAGCUGUCCCGCUACACCCUGCGGCACGUCAUAGGCAAAAGAUUGACGCCCUCGGCGAUCAUAGAAGGGAUGUUGAGCGGGCCACAGGAAUACGAGGCUGUCCGCCUCUUCUGCGAGCGAGUUAUGCUCGCAAAGGAGCGAGCAGAAAUGGAGAGAAAGAAAAACUCUCACCCUUGUAGGAUAACGCGAUGGAGGGAGAUGGCGGUCAGGCGGCCUAGAGCCGCUUCAUCGCCGUCCCAACGGACCACAACUAGAAGGGGGGAUAGCGCUAGGGGCAAUGCCCCCCCCCCCCACCCUAACGCCAAAUUCAACAUCAGGGAAUUAUUAGGACUGGCUCGAACAAGAGGACGCGAGAAGGGGGUGCAACAGAAGAUAAUUCAUAAGAGGUUGCU